UUAAAAAGAAAUUGAAUUUACUAAGCACGGAACCCUCGACCUCUCGUCUCUCGAACCCUAAUUCCACCUUUAUUCCCUGCAACUUUCAUUCCACCUCUCUUCUCUCUCGACCUCUCCUCCCGAGCCUUAAUUCUAUUUCACAUUUCUCUGCAACCUUCAUUCCAGCACUCCUCUUCCUUUCAUUCUUCGUUCUUCUUGCAUAUAACUCUCACAUAAAGUUAUAAACACUGAAACAACGAGAGCAAGUUUCACCAUCUUCACCCUCUUACUUUCCUUUUUCGCAACGAGAGCAAGUUCUUCCUUUCAAUGUUUGAUUAUAUAUUAGUUUAACUUGCUUGGGAGUUUGGUGUGAUUUCUAUUUUUCUAUUUUGAUGAUAGUUAUGACAUGGAUAGAUAUUGUUUUUGGAAUAAACUGACUUUUAAAAGGAUGGUUAUAUAGUUCCAUGUUGUUGUCUUUGUGAUGUUAUGGGUGAUCAUUUUGUUCAAAUUCUCAUCUGCAUACCACAUGAUUGACCAUUGGCCAGAGGUCUUUCCUGCAGCUACAGAUUCACGCUACUUCCGUGACCUUGGAUUACCAGCUAUUGGAUUCUCACCUAUGGCAAACACCCCUCUUCUACUCCAUGACCAUAAUGAGGUUUGGAGAGACCAAAUGCUACUUUAGCAUAUGUGGUACAGUCCCUAAAGUUCAGUUUGAAGAUAGUGUGUUGGAAGCUUUAUUAAUGUCGAUUAAUCUUAGUGGUUUGAAAAACCUUUUAUAAUUGUAAAUGGCUUUGACAUAGUGCCAGCUUAGAUUAUUAAAUUUGUUUAUUAUGAAUAUAUAUUAAAAUUGUGGGUGUUGAAUAGGUAACACAUUGUAAGAGAUUUAUUAAUGUAAUUGUUUAAGAGAUUGUUAAAGAAUAAGAGUUGUAUUUAUUUU